AGAUCAAGAGAAACAUGAUUCGGGUAUUGAUCGAGGUAAGAACAAAGUUUACGAGGAUUAAGCUCGUCUUCAUCAUUUUGUAUCGAGUGCCGCCAAGCUAGCAUUAGGGAUCCAGUGACAUCAAAAGCUUCGACCACACUAUCACUCAAGACCUUGGUAUAGCUAGUUUUAUUGUUUUGUUUUCUAGCAUGUAUAGGGACUCGAGUCUUUGUUUAGUGUUUUGUUAGUUAGCCAUAAUGUGUUGACUCAUAUGAUGAAUAUGAUACUCAUUUUGUAUAAGGCCAUGGAUGAUGGUCAAAAAUCAUUUUGAUUUAUAAAUAAAAGAUGAUAUUUUCAUGGA